rnacentral:rRNA from 1 species
UACGGGGGGGGCAAGCGUUGUUCGGAAUUACUGGGCGUAAAGGGCUCGUAGGCGGCCAACUAAGUCAGACGUGAAAUCCCUCGGCUUAACCGGGGAACUGCGUCUGAUACUGGAUGGCUUGAGGUUGGGAGAGGGAUGCGGAAUUCCAGGUGUAGCGGUGAAAUGCGUAGAUAUCUGGAGGAAUACCGGUGGCGAAGGCGGCAUCCUGGACCAUAACUGACGCUGAGGCGCGAAAGCUAGGGGAGCAAACGGG